UCCAGUGACAUCAUGAUUGAUGUCAUGAAUUGUAUUUAAGUACAUCAGAAUUGCACAGUCAUAAAGCUUCACUCUCUCUCUUCCUGAGUCAUUGAAGUCUAGCAAUAAGACAAAAGUCAGGAUGAUUACUGAUGACUUGGGAUGAAGUGGAUGAUCUUGGCUUCUUCAAUGUAUGACCAAGCUCUGGAUACUCCACAGCAUCUGCUUCAGCUGCCUUCAUGUCUUUUGGAACAAUCUAUUCUUCAGGGGAAAGUCUUCACAUUCAUGAAGUUGACAUCCCUGUAACUCAUCUAUGGAUUUGAGGCCCAUUGGUUACCCUGGAUCUGAUUUAACUCACCUGCCAAGAAAACUGAGAGUUGGGUGAAGACUAAAGUGUGGUCAAAGAAGGCAGCCACUGCUAAAUUCGCUCAGAAUGAAUUUUGGAUAGGAAGAGUAGAAGAAAGAAAAAAGCACUCAUAUGAAAUUCAGAAAAUCCUGGGGAGAGGGAAGGGCUAAGGAUUGUGUCUUGUUUCAGCUUUAUACCUCCUCUGUCACUUAAUACUAAAGGAAAUGGAGUCCGGAUAUCCCUCCGAGCAGACUUUAGUCUCAUAUCUUUUGAGCUGUUACCUGAGAAAUCCUGUAACUCCACCCAGGCAAUCUUUCCCCACCCUCUUUAGUAAAGGCUGGAAACUGGAAGAUCCCAAAUAAAGGAUGAAGUGGCAAUC